UGGGGAAUAUUGCACAAUGGGCGCAAGCCUGAUGCAGCCAUGCCGCGUGUGUGAAGAAGGCCUUCGGGUUGUAAAGCACUUUCAGCGGGGAGGAAGGCGAUAAGGUUAAUAACCUUGUCGAUUGACGUUACCCGCAGAAGAAGCACCGGCCAACUCCGUGCCAGCAGCCGCGGUAAUACGGAGGGUGCAAGCGUUAAUCGGAAUUACUGGGCGUAAAGCGCACGCAGGCGGUCUGUCAAGUCGGAUGUGAAAUCCCCGGGCUCAACCUGGGAACUGCAUGCGGAACUGACAGGCUAGGGUCUUGUAGAGGGGGGUAGAAUUCCAGGUGUAGCGGUGAAAUGCGUAGAGAUCUGGAGGAAUACCGGUGGCGAAGGCGGCCCCCUGGACAAAGACUGACGCUCAGGUGCGAAAGCGUGGGGAGCAAACAGG
rnacentral:rRNA from 1 species